CAGGACUCGCAAGACUCCUACAACCCUGUGAACUUAACUAUAAGCACGUUGCUUCGGCGGGUGUCUCGGCGGAGGGUCCCCCUGGGACCUGCGCAGGGGCGCGAAGCCCGCCGGCAGCCUACUAUACUCUGUCUCUUUGCGUUGGCAUCUCGAGUAAAAGCAAACAAGUUA
rnacentral:misc_RNA from 1 species